rnacentral:tRNA from 1 species
GCUCGGGUGGUGGAAUGGUAGACACGUACGUUUCAGAUGCGUAUGUCCUUCGGACGUGUGGGUUCAAGUCCCAUCUCGAGCACCA